GAUGAACGCUGGCGGCGUGCCUAAUACAUGCAAGUCGAGCGAACAGAUGAGGAGCUUGCUCCUCUGACGUUAGCGGCGGACGGGUGAGUAACACGUGGAUAACCUACCUAUAAGACUGGGAUAACUUCGGGAAACCGGAGCUAAUACCGGAUAAUAUAUUGAACCGCAUGGUUCAAUAGUGAAAGACGGUUUUGCUGUCACUUAUAGAUUGAUCCGCGCCGCAUUAGCUAGUUGGUAAGGUAACGGCUUACCAAGGCAACGAUGCGUAGCCGACCUGAGGGGGUGAUCGGCCACACUGGAACUGAGACACGGUCCAGACUCCUACGGGAGGCAGCAGUAGGGAAUCUUCCGCAAUGGGCGAAAGCCUGACGGAGCAACGCCGCGUGAGUGAUGAAGGUCUUCGGAUCGUAAAACUCUGUCAUUAGGGAAGAACAAAUGUGUAAGUAACUAUGCACGUCUUGACGGUACCUAAUCAGAAAGCCACGGCUAACUACGUG
rnacentral:rRNA from 1 species